ACACACCGGUUCUGACUGAGAGAGUCACAGCCUCAGAGGCAACGUAAACAAGCGUUAUAUUUCUCUAUAAACGAUGGUGUCUGUACUGCCUUACCACUUCGAGCUCGAUCCAGAGAGUUCAGAAGGCCGUUACGAUAUAAACGAUCUCCGUCAAUGAAUGCGAUUGGAUUUAACUUUUUUAGGUGUCCUUAGCUCUGCCAGAAUGCUAAACGAAGACGAAAAUGUGUUGCAAAGACAUCCAAAAGGUUUUAAGGAGAAUGCAACAGGUUCCAGGGCCUCUUACCUGCGUGAUUCAUCAUCCAGGUUUUGCACAAAUUGUCUAAAUCCCUACACACAGAACAUUUAUUGUACCGACUAUAAGCCUUUGAGGCGCAGGACUAGAAUAUGCUUGGAGCUUCCUGAUCGGAAUGUUGGCUUCCGACGACCCCUGCACUGAAGAUGGCAUGCAAUCACGUCCUCCUUUGAAGGUCUGUCAAACUGUGAUGCCAGGUCCAUUGGAAUCGGGGUUUCCUUCAGCUUAUCUUCAAAUACCUCAGCAAACACAAGCCUGAUCACAUCAUCCACAUAACUGUACAAAUAUUGCAGUCAAUAAAUCUUUUGUUUUGAUAAUUUAUUUCCCUGCUUCAUACAUUAAGUUUUUAAUUAUGAAUGUAUUUGAAAUAAAACAUUACUGCUUACA